rnacentral:lncRNA from 1 species
GCGCUUUAUUACUAGCAAUGAUAUACACAGCCUUCUUUCUUAGGUAUAGUUUACGCUCCUCAUACCAUGGUAUCUUCAUGAGAACCAUCACAUAAUAGCAAUUGAAUCUCUACACUUCUCAAUAUUCAGAUCCAUUCUGAGAAACCUACUUAAAUUUAUCACUUAUUUCAUUUUCUUUUCAUUGGGCAGUCAUCCAAGGACACGCACAACAAGAAAACACUAUUUAAACAAUUUACCUGGGAGAACUAGUCCUUCAAAGUCUUCAAAUUUAAAACUGGAAACUAUAUGUAUCAUAUAACCAACAGGAAAACAGGAUUAUGACUUUCAACCUCACUCAGGAAACAAAGAUGGAUUGAUCAUAUUCAAAGAUCUAAAACAAGAGAAAAAGAUGAGAAGGGACUAAAAUAAUCUAUUGCACCUGCAAUCUCAUCAUGUUUGUGGCUGCUGCAGGAUUGUCCUGAUUAUGAUGUGCUUCAAACAGCUCUAAAACCAGUGAAUUCCAAUAGUCCAAGCAAACAUGACAAAUCAAAUCAACAGCAACUUAGUUGUUAUUAGAACCAAAAUAGUGAUAAAGUUUUAUUGGAUAAACGAGUCCGUUCAUGUGCAAGCCAACCAGUCCUUGCUCGAAGUACAGAAAUGAAAUGGGUGCCGCUUCUUGACGCUUGGGUUGGCCUCUCCGAGUGGUCGACGAGGGAACUUGGGUAAUUGAUUUUCUUGAUUUGGGGCUUAGGGUUCCGAUGGAGCUUGGAUAAAUUUCAUAGUCAUUUGGGGGAUUAGGGAUGGAGCUUGGCCAAUUGAUUUGGGAAUUUCCUUCUUCACGUUUCUGGGUUCAGACACAAAGGGUUCGAGACAGGAAUUCACUAUCCAGAGAUUUGCUGUGCAAUUCUUCAAAAGUGCCAGACAAUUUCUAAGGAGCCAUAAUCGUUAGCUGACCAAAUUCACUAGCAAUAGCUUUAGGAGAAGAGAAAAUUUAUGAGAAUUACACUGCAUGAUUGGCGCUUUAUUACUAGCAAUGAUAUACACAGCUUUCUUUCUUAGGUAUAGUUUACGCUCCUCAUACCAUGGUAUCUUCAUGAUAACCAUCACAUAAUAGCAAUUGAAUCUCUACACUUCUCAAUAUUCAGAUCCAUUCUGAGAAACCUACUUAAAUUUAUCACUUAUUUCAUUUUCUUUUCAUUGGGCAGUCAUCCAAGGACACGCACAACAAGAAAACACUAUUUAAAC